GGAUCGCCCUUCCUACGGGAGGCAGCAGUGGGGAAUUUUGGACAAUGGGCGCAAGCCUGAUCCAGCAAUGCCGCGUGAGUGAAGAAGGCCUUCGGGUUGUAAAGCUCUUUUGUCAGGGAAGAAACGGUUCUCUCUAAUACAGGGGGCUAAUGACGGUACCUGAAGAAUAAGCACCGGCUAACUACGUGCCAGCAGCCGCGGUAAUAAGGGCGAUCCC
rnacentral:rRNA from 1 species